UCAUAUUUAUUUUAGACCAAGGAAAUUAAUUCAACCUAAUCUAUCUAAGAAGCAUGUUACUGCACCAAGGACCCCGCCUCUCCUCUUCCUCUUUCUGGAGGGUUCUGACCACAGUUGCUCUCAAUAGGAGCUGAAAACAUCUCUUGAGAUCUGCAUCAUCAGACUGUGCGUGGACAGCUCUGGACCACAUCUGGAAUGAAGGGGAGGGGUGUGUGUGUGUGUGUGUGUGUGUGUGUGUGUGUGUGUGUGUGUGUCUGAAUGGAGCAUCUUUGUCCAGAGGAGCUGAAGUCAGAAAAAUGCCCCCAACCAACAGGAUUCCAGCCCUGGCUCUGAUGCUGAAGGUCUCUGGAGCUCCUCUGCUGAAGUGGGGUAUGUGUGGGGUGGGGUGGAGAGCAUCAGGGAUUUUAAUUUAAUUUUUUUUAACAGAGAAUCAAAGGUCUCUGACAGGGUAUCAACUCUAAUGUUGAGAAAUAUGGAAACGUUCUCUGUGCUGCACAAACUGAUGUAAACAGCUACACAUCUCGGUUCAGCACUUGAAAUGUGGAUAGUGCAGA
rnacentral:lncRNA from 1 species